GGUGAGUAAUACGUAGGUAAUCUGCCCUCAAGUGGGGAACAACCGCGGGAAACUGCGGCUAAUACCCCAGACCUUGGAUGUUCACAAGAAUGACCAAGCAAAGGCGGGUCGCAAGACCUGUCGCUCGAGGAUGAGCCUGCGGCCUAUCAGCUUGUUGGCGGGGUAACGGCCCACCAAGGCUAAGACGGGUAGCUGGUCUGAGAGGAUGAUCAGCCACACUGGAACUGAGACACGGUCCAGACUCCUACGGGAGGCAGCAGUGGGGAAUAUUGCGCAAUGGGGGAAACCCUGACGCAGCGACGCCGCGUGGAGGAUGAAGGUCUUCGGAUUGUAAACUCCUUUUGCUGGGGAACAAAUACGGCGGGCUAAUACCCCGACGGGUUGAGGGUACCCAGCGAAUAAGCACCGGCUAACUCCGUGCCAGCAGCCGCGGUAAUACGGAGGGUGCAAGCGUUGUUCGGAAUCAUUGGGUGUAAAGCGCGUGUAGGCGGUCGUUUAAGUUCACUGUGAAAGCUCGGGGCUCAACUCCGGAACUGCAGUGAAAACUGGAUGACUUGAGGGUUGGAGAGGAAAGCGGAAUUCCUGGUGGAGCGGUGAAAUGCGUAGAUAUCAGGAAGAACACCAGUGGCGAAGGCGGCUUUCUGGACAACUUCUGACGCUGAGGCACGAAAGCGUGGGUAGCAAACAGGAUUAGAUACCCUGGUAGUCCACGCCCUAAACGAUGGGUACUAGACGUCGGGAGGUUUAUUCUCUUGGUGUCGCAGCUAACGCAAUAAGUACCCCGCCUGGGAGUACGGUCGCAAGAUU
rnacentral:rRNA from 1 species